rnacentral:rRNA from 1 species
GGCAAAAGCUCACAUUUGAAAUCUGGCACCUUCGGUGUCCCAUUUGUAAUUUGAAGAAGGUAACUUUGGAGUUGGCUCUUGUCUAUGUUCCUUGGAACAGGACGUCACAGAGGGUGAGAAUCCCGUGCGAUGAGAUGCCCAAUUCUAUGUAAAGUGCUUUCGAAGAGUCGAGUUGUUUGGGAAUGCAGCUCUAAGUGGGUGGUAAAUUCCAUCUAAAGCUAAAUAUUGGCGAGAGACCGAUAGCGAACAAGUACAGUGAUGGAAAGAUGAAAAGAACUUUGAAAAGAGAGUGAAAAAGUACGUGAAAUUGUUGAAAGGGAAGGGCUUGAGAUCAGACUUGGUAUUUUGCGAUCCUUUCCUUCUUGGUUGGGUUCCUCGCAGCUUACUGGGCCAGCAUCGGUUUGGAUGGUAGGAUAAUGACUAAGGAAUGUGGCUCUACUUCGGUGGAGUGUUAUAGCCUUGGUUGAUACUGCCUGUCUAGACCGAGGACUGCGUCUUUGACUAGGAUGUUGGCAUAAUGAUCU